GACGAACGCUGGCGGCGCGCUUAACACAUGCAAGUCGAGCGAAGCGGCGGACGGGUGAGUAACACGUGAGUAACCUGCCUUAGACAUUGGGAUAGCCUCGGGAAACCGGGAUUAAUACCAAAUGGUCUAAGAUGGACUCGCUUCCCAUUAGCUAGUUGGUGGGUAACGGCCCACCAAGGCGACGAUGGGUAGCCGGCCUGAGGGGGUUAACGUCCACAUUGGAACUGAGAUGCUGUCCCGACUCUACGGGAGGCAGCAGUGGGGGAUAUUGCACGAUGGGCGAAAGCCUGAUGCAGCGACGCCGCUUGGGGGCUGAAGGCUUUCGUGUUGUAAACCUCUUCGCUAUCGAACAUUUUUUUGGUGGGUUGAGUUUAGGUGGAUAAGAAGCGCCGGCUAACUACGUGCCAGCAGCCGCGGUAAUAC
rnacentral:rRNA from 1 species